UUUACAUCACCCGCUUCCCCGCCAUGUGGAUUUCGGCAGUUUCUCUCUCUUCCCUAUCUCUCUCUAAAAACUGUCUCUACGCUCUCUACUCCGAUGAACUCGUCGCCGCCUGCGAAUCCGUCGGCCAGUCAAGCACCACCGCCGACGACUUCCACGGACGUUGCGGAGGAAGGUUCGACGAAGAAGGUGAGGAAACCUUACACGAUCACGAAGUCCAGGGAGAGCUGGACUGAGGAAGAGCACGACAAGUUUCUCGAAGCGCUUCAACUGUUUGACCGUGACUGGAAAAAAAUCGAAGACUUUGUGGGUUCAAAGACUGUGAUUCAGAUUAGGAGCCAUGCCCAAAAAUAUUUUUUGAAGGUCCAGAAAAAUGGGACGGUAGCCCAUGUGCCACCACCUAGGCCUAAACGCAAAGCAGCUCAUCCGUAUCCUCAAAAGGCGUCAAAAAAUGCUCAAGUGCUGCUCCAUGUUUCCUCGCCUCUUCCUUCUCCAAGUAGCACUCUUCUUGGGUAUGCUCCAUUGGAUGGUUCCUCUGCACUGAUAAACAUUGGAUCAACCAGAGUUGUCUUACCACAAGAUGAACUAGCUACACUUCGUGGAGCUGAAGGCAUGGGAAGCAUAAGCAGAACACUAUCAAGUUCUAAGAUUCUAAUACAAGGGAAACAAGCUCCCGUGCUUCACGGUGUUCCUGAUUUUGCUGAAGUUUAUAACUUCAUUGGGAGUGUCUUUGAUCCAGAAACCAAAGGCCACGUGAGAAAACUCAAGGAAAUGGAUCCCAUAAAUUUUGAGACCCUUCAGGCUAUCAGCUUUUGGUUGUUGUUUCCCGUGAGUCAGUUCUGCGUACUGCAUGCUUGUUGCUAGUUACAAUAUUACCAGUAAAAGUUCCUUGGUGGGAGACCAUUAUCCAUAGUCUAUACGUGCGCGCACGAGUUGCAUUUUAAUGUUAUGCCCUCCCACCAGCUGUAUGCCCUAUGUUGUGCUCUUUCCAGUCAGCCGGAGGUUCUACUGUUGAUGAGAAACCUAGCAAUUAACUUGUCAAGCCCUGACUUUGAACCUGUUUCCAACUCCUUUGAUGCUGCAGAGGAAGGUCCUAUUGUCAUAUGAAGUGAACACCAAGUUGGUAGCUGGUAGCGCAGAAUCCAUGGUCAAGACAACCGAUGUAUCGUCUUGAGGACUUAUCGCGCACAACUGUCUAUCAAGGUUUGUUGUUGAAGGAGCAGCACAUUACAGGACCUUGCAAGCCCCUGUAGCGGCAUAGCCAGGAGUAGGGUAACUUUUAGGUAAGAGGAAAGAGUAAGAAGAGGCUGUUGUUUCCCAUCUGAAUGAAAAGCUCCUGUACAAAAAUUUCUUCUUCCGCUCUCUUUCUAGGUUGUGUAUUUAUUUGGUCUGUCUGUCUGUCAUGUUUGUUAUCUGUAGUUGCUUCAUCUGAUUGUUUUUGGGCUUAUGAAUUUCUAACCAAGCAUGUAACCAGGAAGAGAACAAAGGAAAGAUACCAAUAAACCGCGAGUGAGUGAACUCCAUGUAACGUGUAUCAGCCCUUUUCUGUUUGCUC